UUACUUAAGAUCGAAGGAGCAA
rnacentral:siRNA from 1 species